CGGCAGGCUCGCCUGCCAAUGGGGACCACAAAAAACACUUUGCAGUACCUGUAACAGUCUGAACAAACAAACAAAAAUUAAAACUUUCAACAACGGAUCUCUUGGUUCUGGCAUCGAUGAAGAACGCAGCGAAAUGCGAUAAGUAGUGUGAAUUGCAGAAUUCAAUGAAUCAUCGAAUCUUUGAACGCACAUUGCGCCCUUUGGUAUUCCUUAGGGCAUGCCUGUUCGAGCGUCAUUUAAACCUUCAAGCUAAGCUUGGUGUUGGGUGACUGUCCGCUUCACGGCGGACUCGCCUCAAAAUUAUUGGCGGCCGGUACAUUGGCUACGAGCGCAGCAGAAACGCGAACUCGGGCCCGUCGUAUUGGCUCCCAGAAGCUAUCUUCACAAUUUUGACCUCGGAUCAGGUAGGGAUACCCGCUGAACUUAAGCAUAUCAAUAAGCGGAGGAA
rnacentral:rRNA from 1 species